UGGGGAAUAUUGCACAAUGGGCGCAAGCCUGAUGCAGCCAUGCCGCGUGUGUGAAGAAGGCCUUCGGGUUGUAAAGCACUUUCAGCGGGGAGGAAGGCGAUAAGGUUAAUAACCUUGUCGAUUGACGUUACCCGCAGAAGAAGCACCGGCUAACUCCGUGCCAGCAGCCGCGGUAAUACGGAGGGUGCAAGCGUUAAUCGGAAUUACUGGGCGUAAAGCGCACGCAGGCGGUUUGUUAAGUCAGAUGUGAAAUCCCCGGGCUCAACCUGGGAACUGCAUCUGAUACUGGAAAGCUUGAGUCUCGUAGAGGGGGGUAGAAUUCCAGGUGUAGCGGUGAAAUGCGUAGAGAUCUGGAGGAAUACCGGUGGCGAAGGCGGCCCCCUGGACGAAGACUGACGCUCAGGUGCGAAAGCGUGGGGAGCAAACAGG
rnacentral:rRNA from 1 species